GAUGAACGCUAGCUACAGGCUUAACACAUGCAAGUCGAGGGGAAACGACAUCGAAAGCUUGCUUUUGAUGGGCGUCGACCGGCGCACGGGUGAGUAACGCGUAUCCAACCUGCCCAUCACUUGGGAAUAACCUUGCGAAAGUAAGACUAAUACCCAAUGACAUCCCACGAAGACAUCUGAAUGGGAUUAAAGAUUUAUCGGUGAUGGAUGGGGAUGCGUCUGAUUAGCUUGUUGGCGGGGUAACGGCCCACCAAGGCAACGAUCAGUAGGGGUUCUGAGAGGAAGGUCCCCCACAUUGGAACUGAGACACGGGCCAAACUCCUACGGGGGGCAGCAGUGAGGAAUAUUGGUCAAUGGGCGAGAGCCUGAACCAGCCAAGUAGCGUGCAGGAUGACGGCCCUAUGGGUUGUAAACUGCUUUUAUAAGGGAAUAAAGUGGGUCUCGUGAGACUUUUUGCAUGUACCUUAUGAAUAAGGACCGGCUAAUUCCGUG
rnacentral:rRNA from 1 species